CAAAGAUUCCUUAAUGAGAAUUAAGACAACAUUAAAGAGCCUUGAACUUUACUCCAGCCUCUGACUUUCUCUUGAAGCCUGUUAGCUAUCUGUCGAUUUGUGUAUAGUCACACACACUGAGGACAGAACACUGUGUGUGUGUGUGUGUGUGUGUGUGUGUGUGUGUGUGUGUGUGUGUGUGUGUGUGUGUUUACAGGAAAUAACAGGUGAUGGUCAUCAGCCAACACAUGCUCUGUCUUGAUCUUGCAACUCUGACAUCUUGAGUGUCAUGCAUCAUGUACAUUUCACAUCUUUGGAUAUUUUUUGGUGCUUUGGUGUCUUCAAAUGGAUGCAUAUAUGUCACCGUCAACGCCUCUCUGAAAUCUGAAGUCUAUCUCCCAUGUCACUUUGAUAUAAACCAUUACAAUGGAACAUUGGCAGUGAAUUGGAGACGCCAUUCCACUAUUAAGAGUCUUGUUACGAUCAUGACUGAUGGCAAAAUCAUCUUUGGUAGUCCUAGUGAAGGACGAGUGAAUGUUUUUCCCCUUCUGUCUAAACAUGGAAACUUCUCUAUCCUCAUCCAUGAUCUGCAGUCUUCAGACAUUGGCACCUACAUUUGUGAGCUGAACAGUGAAUGCUGGAGGGUGAAAAUCAUUGAACAGUACAGAAUCAGUGAGUCAAACUCCUGGCUCUACUUUGCAGCUGGAGCUGGAUUGUUUAUUCUCCUUUUUAUUGCAUUUAGCCUGUUAUCAAAAUUCUGUGGAAAGUGUGUAGAUACAUCAUCCAAAUCGAAUCCAGUUAAUGGAGUACGGAGUGAAGGUAGUAAUUCCCCCGAAGAAACACAGAAUACAGAAAGCAGUGAGCAUAGAAACAAAAACAAGAGGGGUGUGAGGAGGGGCCCUACAACUGUUUAUGAAAAUGACAUACAUGCUCCAAAUCAAAGUUCUGCUGUGCAGCCGGGGCAACAUCCUCAAAGAGCCUUUAGAGCCGUUCCCGAGCCAACAAGAAGUCAUCCUUCGGAUGCAAAACCAUACUACGUCAACCAGGCGGAGCUCUUCAUUCCAGUAAAUGCUGGCAAAAAACGGAAAAAACUAAAACAAAAUGUGUAUAAAAAUCCAAUAUAUGGAGACUGAAGUGAGACAGUGACAGCAGAAUAAUACAUGUUUCAAUCAGCAUAACAAAAUUGUUCAUUAUAAACAGUUCAAUAUCUCAAUAAAUUCUGAUGUUUAAUGAUUCA
ensembl:lncRNA